CUUAUUACUCUCUUGCGCCGUCAGUAUCUUUGCUUGUCUCUACACCAUCGUUCUCCAUACUUGCCAGAAUCCAAUCAUCUUGCUAAGCCACUGGUGAAUGGCAAAGAAAAGUAAGAAGCGAGCUAUAAAACAAGCGAGAGAUAAAGGUGAUAGUGGUAGUCAAUCACAAGUUGCACCUUCAUCAUCUGAGUCUCCAACUAAUGAAGCACUUGUUUCUUUUAAUAGUGUGAUUAAUGGGGGCAGCGAAGGAUCUACUAUACAAAAGAAAAGAGGUCGGGGAAAGGCUAAGGGUGUUUAUCUAGGUCAUAACCACAAGUGUGAGAUACAUGAC